rnacentral:rRNA from 1 species
UACGUAGGUGGCAAGCGUUGUCCGGAUUUACUGGGUGUAAAGGGCGUGUAGCCGGGUUGACAAGUCAGAUGUGAAAGCCCCCGGCUUAACCGAGGAAUUGCAUCGGAAACUGUGUUUCUUGAGUGCAGAAGAGGAGAGUGGAACUCCAUGUGUAGCGGUGGAAUGCGUAGAUAUAUGGAAGAACACCAGUGGCGAAGGCGGCUCUCUGGUCUGUAACUGACGCUGAGGCUCGAAAGCAUGGGUAGCGAACAGG